GACGAACGCUGGCGGCGUGCUUAACACAUGCAAGUCGAACGGAAAGGCCUGCUUUCCCUUGUGGAUUGCGGGUACUCGAGUGGCGAACGGGUGAGUAACACGUGAGUGAUCUGCCCCCAACUUGGGUAUAAGCCUGGGAAACUGGGUCUAAUUCCCGAUAGGACUGCAGGGUGGUGCCUGUGGUGGAAAACGAUUUUCUAGUGGUUGGGGAUGAGCUCGCGGCCUAUCAGCUUGUUGGUGGGGUAAUGGCCUACCAAGGCGGCGACGGGUAGCCGGCCUGAGAGGGUGGACGGCCACAUUGGGACUGAGAUACGGCCCAGACUCCUACGGGAGGCAGCAGUGGGGAAUAUUGCACAAUGGGCGGAAGCCUGAUGCAGCGACGCCGCGUGGGGGAUGACGGCCUUCGGGUUGUAAACUCCUUUCGACCGCGAGGAAGCCACCUGGUUGGAAGGGUGGUGACGGUAGUGGUAAAAGAAGCACCGGCUAACUACGUG
rnacentral:rRNA from 1 species